rnacentral:snoRNA from 1 species
CAGACAUGAUGAAACUUCGUCAUCCAGAAACCCCGUGAGGACUCAGAGAGAUAGUCAAGUCCUGAUCUGU